rnacentral:rRNA from 1 species
GACAGAGGGUGCGAACGUUGCUCGGAAUCAUUGGGCGUAAAGCGCGUGUAGGCGGCAUCGCACGUCGGGUGUGAAAGCCCGGGGCUCAACCCCGGCAGUGCACCCGAAACGACGAUGCUAGAGUGCUGGAGAGGCGGGUGGAAUUCCUGGUGUAGAGGUGAAAUUCGUAGAUAUCAGGAGGAACACCGAUGGCGAAGGCAGGUCUCUGGGCCACUACUGACGCUGAGAAGCGAAAGCAUGGGGAGCGAACAGG